UCUUCUGUUCUGUUCUGUUCUGUUCUGUUCUGUUCUGUUCUGUUCAUGUUCUGUUCUGUUCUGUUCAUGUUCUGUUCUGUUCUGUUCUGUUCUGUUCUGUUCUGUUCUGUUCAUGUUCUGUUCUGUUCUGUUCUGUUCUGUUCUGUUCUGGUUAUGUUCUGUUCUGUUCAUGUUGUUCUGUUCUGUUGUUCUGUUCUGUUCUGUUCUGUUCAUGUUCAUGUUCUGUUCUGUUCUGUUCUGUUCUGUUCUGUUCUGUUCAUGUUCUGUUCUGUUCUGUUCUGUUCUGUUCUGUUCUGUUCUGUUCAUGUUCUGUUGUUCUGUUCUGUUCUGUUCUGUUUCUGUUCUGUUCUGUUCUGUUCUGUUCUGUUCUGUUCUGUUUUGUUCUGUUGUUCUGUUCUGUUCUGUUCUGUUCUGUUCUGUUCUGUUCAUGUUCUGUUCUGUUCAUGUUCUGUUCUGUUCUGUUCUGUUCUGUUCUGUUCUGUUCUGUUCUGUUCUGUUUCAUGUUCUGUUCUGUUCUGUUCUGUUCAUGUUCUGUUCUGUUCUGUUCUGUUCUGUUCAUGUUCUGUUCUGUUCUGUUCAUGUUCUGUUCUGUUCUGUUCUGUUCAUGUUCUGUUCUGUUCUGUUCUGUUCUGUUUCUGUUCUGUUCUGUUCAUGUUCUGUUCAUGUUCUGUUCUGUUCUGUUCUGUUCUGUUCUGUUCUGUUCUGUUCUGUUCUGUUCUGUUCUGUUCUGUUCAUGUUCUGUUCAUGUUCUGUUCUGUUCAUGUUCUGUUCUGUUCUGUUCUGUUCUGUUCUUUCUGUUCUGUUCUGUUCUGUUCUGUUCAUGUUCUGUUCUGUUCAUGUUCUGUUCUGUUCUGUUCUGUUCUGUUCUGUUCUGUUUCAUGUUCUGUUCAUGUUCUGUUCUGUUCUUUUCAUGUUCUGUUCUGUUCUGUUCUGUUCUGUUCUGUUCUGUUCUGUUUCUGUUCAUGUUCUGUUCUGUUCUGUUCUGUUCUGUUCUGUUCUGUUCAUGUUCUGUUCUGUUCUGUUCUGUUCUGUUCAUGUUCUGUUCUGUUCUGUUCUGUUCUGUUCUGUUCUGUUCUGUUCAUGUUCUGUUCUGUUCAUGUUCUGUUCUGUUCUGUUCUGUUCUGUUCAUGUUCUGUUCUGUUCUGUUCAUGUUCUGUUCAUGUUCUGUUCUGUUCAUGUUCUGUUCUGUUCAUGUUCAUGUUCUGUUCUGUUCUGUUCAUGUUCUGUUCUGUUCAUGUUCUGUGUCACAUACAAAGAUUUUAGUCACAGAGCAGCAGAACAAAACAAAGAGGAAGUACGAGAUGAAACGUGACUAACAGUGACUUUAUUUACCUGAAUAAUAUCAACUCAAAAC
rnacentral:lncRNA from 1 species